GGGGGUGAUUGGUCUCGACUUGAGUUGAGAGACCAUAGGUGGCAUGCCGAGGACGCCAGGUUGGCCUCGUUAAUCAUCCGGGCAUCAAACAAACGGCACAUACAGUGUUGUUGCAGAGGCAGAGGCUAUUUUAGCCGAAGCCCAACCAGCCCUUGUUUAAUUAAAUAAACAAGGCCCUCUUGUAAGCCAGGCCUGUGGGUUUAUAAGAGGACAUUCAGCAGGCUAGCCGCGGCCAGCGCCUUCGGGGCGGCGGCGAAGUUUAAGGAGGAUGGCCUGAAACAGCCCUGUUUGCCGGGUGGUUUCAGGUGACACUUAAAGACAAACUACGCAUGUAGAGGCUUAUGGGAAGCAACUGAAGGACCGGGGUUCGAUUCCCCGCACCUCCACCA
rnacentral:tmRNA from 1 species